rnacentral:ncRNA from 1 species
GAACGCCGUGUGCGGUGAAAGUCGCAUGCACGGUGUGAAGUGGGGGAAAAUUCGGAGAUAACAUCAAAGGAUUACCUAUCACUAU